AUUCCCUACGGGACGCAGCAGUGGGGAAUAUUGCACAAUGGGCGAAAGCCUGAUGCAGCAACGCCGCGUGAACGAAGAAGGCUCUUGGGUCGUAAAGUUCUGUUCUGAGGGAAGAAGAAAGUGACGGUACCUCAGGAGAAAGCCCCGGCUAACUACGUGCCAGCAGCCGCGGUAAUACGUAGGGGGCAAGCGUUAUCCGGAAUUACUGGGUGUAAAGGGAGCGUAGACGGCUGUGCAAGUCUGGAGUGAAAGGCGGGGGCCCAACCCCCGGACUGCUCUGGAAACUGUAUGGCUGGAGUGCAGGG
rnacentral:rRNA from 1 species